rnacentral:lncRNA from 1 species
CCGGUGGAGCAGGGGGCGGGGCUCCAGGCAGUCGAGCAGGCUCCAGUAGCCGGGGAAGCUCACGGGAUUGUCCCCGAGAAUGAUGACCUCGUGAAGGCGUUGCCUGAUGACUUAUCCGACGCAUGAAGUGGCGACGGUGGCGUUACCGUAUUUUGCAUGUGCAACAAGCAUCAGGGAAUUACGGGCAUGAAUUGGGGCAGCAUCGGUCUCUUCUCAGCCUCUCCUGCAGCAGUUACCACGGAGCUACUGCAAUGUUGCAGGCUGCAUGUAAGCGUGCAUGUUACAUAAUGGCACCAGAAAACGAUGAGGAACUUUUGCAGGCGGUGCGGCAGGGUGUGUCUCCGAGGCGCGAGAAAAACAUGCCUGGCUUGCCUAUCUAGCUUUGGCUACUCUGUAUCGAUGCUGCUUGAGCGAGCAGGUCAGAUCAGGUCAUCUCGGUGCUUGGGGCCAAGCGAUCAUGGCUGAAGAUGCGAUUGAUGUCGCGUACCUCAGUACACGACGCGCAGGUAAGUCUUAAUGAAAAAGCGGAUUCUCAGCCGGCAGCGGAUUCUAAGCCGGUAGAUCGAGAGCUGCGUCUUUAGCAGCGUUUGGGCUGUUGCAUGGACCUAAGUAUACCCGAUGCACAUGACAAAUAGCUGCUGCGGACAAGUGUGUAUCAGGGUUGACCGCAUAGAGAAGUAGCCCCCUUUGGUAAUUGCCUUGUAUUCAAGUUGAUUUGAGCUGAACCUGACAUCCAACCUCAUUGAGCGCACGGGUGCUGACCGCUGAUGGCAUAUUAAUGUAACCAGUGCGGAUUGAUGGGACGCGGGGGGAUGAACGGGCUACGUGCAGUUAAGCAAUUGCGCCAGCGCUGUCCGCGAUGCGCUUGGUAAGAUUGACGAAACCAAGGUGUUAGCCAGGAGAAUUUUUGACGCGGUGGUGAGUCUAUGUGGUUAAGCAUGGUUAUGGCCGGAUUGCACCCGAGGUGUUGGCUCUGGAUUACGUCGCAGAAAAACAUCACCAGGAUAGCUCUGUCCUGCCCCAGUGGUUGCUUUCUCCUUCCUGUGCGUCACAAGGCCGUGGUUGUGAACGCUACGAAGGGCCGACGUCUCUUGGCUAUGUGUGCGGGAGCCUGGUGGUCUUACUGCUCUGCUUAUCCAUCCGUGUUUUGUGUGCUGAAGUCUGGAACUUACCAUCGUCAGGACGCCGUUACGCCGUCGAGGUUUGCUGGGUUGGUGGCUUAAGUCACGCCCUCGGUCUAAUCCCCUGUUUGGCGUCCGCUCCCAGUCUUGCUACGGGCCUAAUUGCGUCGGUGCUGGCUUGUGGCUGCAGCACUGUAGUGUGGCAGCGAGGUAGCAUUUCUUUUGUGGGCAUUUUUCUCUUAUCCUGCUUUCCCCUAAGCCUCACAUUUUGAAACUCCCUCAUCAAUGCUUGCAGCUUCCUUUCCUGCCUGAGUUGCGGCACUUCAGGCACCAUCUAUCCUAAAUUUAGUUCGUGGUUGUAAUGCGUAGGCCUCAACAGUUGCGUGUUCAUUUCUGCUCCCAGAUUG